ensembl:lncRNA
GUUUUCUAUAAUAAAUAUGGAUUAUUUGGCUAAGGUUUAUAACUAAUUAAUUGUUGUAAUAAUUAUUAUAAUUAUUACUUAAUAAGUAAUUAUAAAAGAAAUCAUAUCUCCUACGGUACUGCAGAAAUUGGAAUAGCGCUUAUGGAAAGUAAAAAAACCCCAAGCUGCAAGGAAAAAUUGUUUAUUAGUGCAUGCUAUCCUAUCUUAAUAACUGAUCCAGCAAAACAAUAUUAUAGAAACUCGUUAAAGGACAGAAUACUAUAGCAUUAAUAGGUAUAGAGUUUAUAGAAUGCAUCUAACUAUUUAUAUUCUAUUUGUUCUUAAGGGAAAUUAAAGAAAUAUUAUUGUAGAUAGAAAAGUAUAUUGUUAAUAUUCUCCAUAACUGAAUGGCCAAGCUAUGACAAAGGGGUAAUGAAUAUGAUGUGGUGUGGUGGCUUUCCAUGUAAGAAUUAACCUUUUUAAAGCAGUUUUACUCUCAUUUAUUUAGUCUUCACCAUACAGACAGCUGACAGUGAGGAAUUCACACUGAUGUGGGAGGUGUCACUGAGGAGAUGAAAUUUGAGUUGCUCCUUAAAGAAUGAGUAAGAUUUGCUAGGUGAAGAUUGGUGAAAUGGCUUUGCAGACAGACAGAAUAGCGACAGCGAAACAACAGGCGAAGUGUGAGAUGUGUCAUGGGAACACUAGUUACUCAGAUGUGUGAGUAUGUGUGUGUGUGGGUAGGUUUGUGUCAUGGGGUCCAUAUGAGGGGGUGUGGAAGGAGCUAAGUCAGUGCAAACUUUUAGCUCUGCAAGUUACAAAAUGUAAGAGGCUAAAAAAUGACCUGAAAUCUGAAAAUCACAAUUCCUAAAGUAAAGGUAGAUCGUUUCUGUCAUUUAAAAUGUGUGGCAGGAAGAAAAGCAGCAUUUAUUGAGCUCCUGUUAUAUGACUUUAUAUCUAUUGUUGCAUUUAACCCUUAGAUCAGCUCUUUAAGAGGCUGAUUACUCUCAAUUUACAUGUGAGGAAAUGCAAGCUACAGAAAUUACCCUAGAAAGAUGAAGCCCAGCAGCAGGAUUCAAUCCAGGUUCAUCCAACUCCUCAGAUGGUAUUCUUUCCAUCACACCAUGCGGUCUCUCUGAAAUACCUAAGUCAUUCUCGUAUUACAACAAACAGUGGGACACCUCCCCACACAGACCACUCUCACCACCACCACCAAAUAGCUCAGCAUAUUUGGAGACAAAAACAAAGGAAGAGAAAUGAAAUAUGCAUGUGAAAACUUUAUAGAUUAUUCUGCCCUAUUCAGCAGCCAUUAUGGGAUUGUUACUUGAUAUGAAUGUAGAGAUUUGCUACUUCGAAAGCCUUAAAGUUUCCCUAUUGUGGCCCACAGCUCUCUGGAUAUGGCAGUAUUUCUUGAACUAGCAAAAAAAGCUUAUUUUCUUCAGUAUGUGAAUCCACAUAAAGGUAUUUAUCCUAAACAGCUACUUCCUCCUUUACCAUGGACUGAUUUGGGAUUCAGCUUUGUUGCGAUGCCACAGGUGUUUUAGAUUUUGAUGGCCGCUUCCAAGUGUGGGUCUGAUGAGCUCUCCGCAUGCGCUGCCUGCCUGGGUGAGCGCUGGCCAGGCUGAGUAGGCUCAUUCAUCCAGGAGAUGGCCCUGCAGCUGAAAAGAGGUGAGGCACACUGCCUUGUCGCUUGAGUUUGCUUGUUUUCCUUCUAUGCUCUCUGCCAUGAGCCUUGAUAAGAAAGAUGAAUGCCAGCAUCUGCCAAGAUAUUAAGAUACAGAUCCUGCUUCUUCAGUUGACUAGAUUAACAUAUUAAACAGCCUAUUCUCUUAAGAUGUUUCCAGCUAAAAUUAGUUUUUCCUUUCUCAUCGUGCUAGUUGUGAUUUCAUGGGGUUAUUUUUUCUCCAGGCAGUGCUUCCUUAAGUCUUUCUCUGCUCCAGUCAUCUUCCACACUGCUGACAGACUGCUCUGUUGUAAAGGAAAAUCUCAUUGUGUUAUCCCCUUACUUAAAAUUGGUGCAGAGUAAACUCAUCCUUCAAUACUCAGGCUGUGCUUUGUCCCCCAGGAGGAGAUGACUACUUUCUGGUCCAGCUGAGCCCUGCAUGUACCUCUCACAUGGUAUCUACCCACGGUAUUUGCAGUUCUGUGUUCCUUGUCUGGUUCUCUUUCUGGUUGAUGCUUGAGUUCAGGGACUCUGUCUUUUUCACUAUUUUAUCAUAAGAAUUUCAUAUAUAGUGAUCCCAUCAUAUGUGCAAAUAAAACAUUAGCUGAAAAUAUUAAAUGAAUUAAUUAAAAGUAAAUGAAUGAUUAAGAGUUGUGAAACCUCAGUUGAAUGUAAGGGUGGAGAAGUCGGAAAGGCAGCAUAUCUAACUGCCAUCUUUAGCAUCUGAUAAAGGUUAAUGAAAAUGGCUGAGGUUUCCUUAAAAUGACAUGUAGCUAGUAGCUUUUAAAACAGUCUUUGUUUAUAGAAAAUUCUUGGUGUUUAUUUGAAUUUUUGGUGUUUAUUUGAAUUCAUGGACUAUCUCAGGAGUUGUCAGCCUACAAGUGUGUAAAGAUUGCUUUAUGGUGAUAAAAUGAGUACAGGAUGAGACCUAAGAAAAUGCAGAAUUAAUGGAGAAAAUGGUGUGUUUUUAGUUCCUCUUUACUCUAGAGCUUUGUGGAAAGAUCAUCCCAUUAUAUGGAUAAUACUUAGGAUUUUAAGAAAAAUCCUUCUUUCCAAAAAAAUGUGAAAACAUCACUUUUCUAGCCUUGCAUCCUUUUCCCAAGAAAUUCUGGCUCAUUUAUUCCUUUCCUUUGAGAUGCAGAUCCAUCUGUCCCGCUUGCCCACUUGACUUCUCUUCUGUGUUUCAAUCUAAUAACAAAAACUAGCGAUUUAACUCCCCAAAUGAUCCUCUUCCAGUUUCUUUAUCUUAGAAGGAAGCUGCUCCACUCAGCAAUUAACCCAAAACCUUAUGAAUUAACCUUGGUUCUUCUUACUUUCUUACCUCCACAUCUAAUCCAGAACCUCCUAAAUACCUACGAAACAUGUCUUAAAUAUUUCCUCCUUCUACUACCACCACCAUCUUAGUACCAGCUGCCAUGACCUAUUGCCUAGGAGAGAGCACUAAAAAACAGGGCCUUCUUCCUGAUUGAUGGCUUCAUCUUUGGACCCUCUCCAAUUCCUUGUGUAUGCUCCAGCAGAGCUAUCUUUCUGAAGUGCAAACUGGAUUAUGCCAUCUUCCUUCUUAAAACCCUGUAGUGGUUUUAAUUAUUUUAAGGUUUAAAAAUAAAUUAUUAAACCAGGUUACAAGGCCUUGAGUGGUCUGGCCUAUCUCCCUCUCCAACAGUUCCCUCAUCCCACUCUCUCUUCGGCAGCAUCAUUGGCUUUCUUUCAGUUUCUCACGUUUGCCAAGGUCUCUCCCUCCCACUUUGGACCUUUGCACUUGCUCUUCUCCUGUGUGGAAAACUCUUCUGUCUCCUAGUUAUCCAAUAAACUUUCAUUCUUUCUUCAAAUUUCAGCUUAGCCUCCCAUGACCAUGAUUUUUUACCCACUCUUGUAGCACCAUGCAACUCUUUUUUGAGGUACUAACCUUAAUUGUAAUAUUAGAUUUGUUUAAUUAGUAAAUAGUCUCCUUUCCUGGGCUCUAAGCUCUUUGAGGACAGGGACCACAUCUGGUUUUGUUCCCUAAUGCUUCUCCAGAGCUUAGCCCAAUACUCAGCAGGUACUGUGUUGUUAACAUUUAUUGAAUGAUAAUAGGCAUAUUAGCAUGUAUUGACAUUAUGGAUAAUCAUUUUUUGAGUAAUGAUAAAUAUUCAAAGAAAGACAAGCAGUAUUUAACAUAAGUGCACUAGAUAUAUCUAUCUUAACUACUGUUAUUGAUCAUAUGUGAGGGUGUCAAUGUGCUUCUUGCAUUCUUAAAAACCACUUUGCAGACUACAUAUUUGAAUUAUUAGGCUUGUGUCAAGACAUAUAAGGCUUAAAAUGUGUUUUUGUCUAUCUCAAAUCACUCUACAUUUUCAGUUUCUCAGAACUGAAAGCUGUUUCUCAGAAUUAUCACUCACUGGGCACAAUGGUUUCAGUAAAGGGAGCCGGUGUGGCAUGAGCUGGAGAUUUAGAACCAAACGUAUUUGGCUUUGAAUUCUAGCUCCGCUAUGCAUUACACGUGUAAUGUUGGGCAAAUGAGUUCAUCUCUCUGAGCGUUAGCUUUAUCAUCUGUAAAUUGGGUUUUGUAAUACCUACCUCCUGGGAUUAUUUUAUGGCUUAGGAAUUUAACGUAUAUGAUUACAGUUCUUCCUAUUUAAAGGUGCUUCAUCGUUCUUGCUUCCUGUACCUUCCUCCCAGGUAGUCUGCAUAGUUUGAAAGACACACCAAUUAGAUUCCUAUCCCUUCCGCAUGUUCCAUCUAAAUGGAGAAUAUGCUUUAAAAAUUGAACUUUAACUGAGAGGGAGCUAGAGAAAAAGGAUGGAAGGAGGAAAAAUAUGCCACUCAGUUGCCAUGGUACACCCAGGUUAAAGAAACCCGGGUUUAUAAAUGAGCAGAACGAAGAAAGUAAGUGUCGUUAGCUUUUGAUGUAGUGUUGCUUGAUUUCAGAUUGCUUUUAAUUUAAGUUAUUCAUAGUAUCUCUUCUUUCGGAGUAACUAGUUGUGUUUAUCUGCUUCUUAGCAGGAAGGUGUUAGAAGAGGUCAUCGAGAGGAUGUGAGUGCUGGUUGACCCGAGAACUGGACCAGGGCAUUUGGAGGCUCUUCACCUUCUCCCCUGUCCUUGGAAUGUGGGACGCCUACCACAGCAUGGCGUGCCAAGUGGUGCCAUGUCUGCACCCGGAUCUGAACCAAUGAACCCCAGGCCACCAAAGCGGAAUAUGCACACUCAACCACCGUGCCACCAGGCCCACCCCACCCUGAGAAGAUUAGCCAUGAGCUAACAUCUGCUGCAGAUCCUCUUUUUGCUGGGGAAGACUGGCCCUGAACUAACAUCCAUGCCCAUCUUCCUCUACUUUAUAUGUGGGACGCCUGCCACAGCAUGGCUUGACAAGCAGUGUGUAGGUCCGUACCUGGGAUCCAAACUGGCCAACCACGGGCCACUGAAGCAGAAUGCGUGAACCCAACCACUGUGCCACUGGGCUGGCCCCUAUAUCAUUUUCUUAAAGACAAAGCUGCUUAUCCUUGACUUUCUCCCUCCCACCCUGCCUCUUGCUGGGAAAUCAUGACAACUAGAUCAACUUUGGAAGCCAUGAGUUAAAGAUGGUAAAGCCACUUCUCCAACUAUGGCCUGCUCAUAUCUGUACUGUUAUUUGAGAUGAAAUCAUACAGUGUGCAACCUUUUGGUACUGGCUUUUUCAAUUAGCAUAAUUCUCUGGAGACUCAUUGAAGUGGUGUGUACACUAGUUCAUUUCUUUUUGUUGCUAAGUACUAUUCCAUAGUAUGGUUGUAUGAUGGUUUGUUUAACCGUGCACCCAUUGAAGGACAUGUAGAUUGUUUCCAGUUUUGGGCUAUUAUUAAUAAAACUGAGAUGAAUAUAGGGGAACCAUUUUUUGUGUGGACAUGUUUUCAGUUCUGUGGGAUAAAUGACCAAGAGUGGAAUUACUGGUCAUAAUGACAGUGUACGUUUAGUUUAGUUUUUUUUUUUUUAAAGAAAUUGCCAAACUGCUUUCCAGAGUGGUUAUAGCAUUUUACAUUCCUAUCAGCAACGUAUAAGUGAUCUAGUUUCUCCACAUUCUUGCUAGUAUUUGGUAUUAUCAUUAUUUUUUAUUUUAGUUAUUCUUAUAGGUAUGUAGUAAUAGCUCAUUGUGGUUCUAAU